rnacentral:sRNA from 1 species
CCACCUGGGGGCUUCUCUGCAGCAGGGGCAGGAGCUGUUACCCUUCUAAUCCUCACAAUGACCCCAGCCUAAUAAUACAAUGAUCCCCACAUAGAACCAGGGGCCCAAGACCCCCACGUCAGCUGGGCUUCCACCUCCAAGCUCACGCCCUCAACCACUCUGCUGGGGCCAGCAAACCCAGGCCCCACAGCCGGCUAGCAGGACAUCUGUGUCCACAAUUGGCGCCGUGUGUUUUAAGUUGCAGCGUCAAAAACAUUAAGAGAUUGCUUUAGCAAAUAUUUACCCAGUCCUGACUCUGCACAUGGCAUCGUUCUAGGAGCUCAAAGAUGUUAACUUGUUUAAUAAUCAAGCCCUGUGAAAGACUUUAUAGCAUCUGUGGAUUUUGGUACCCAUGGAGGUGCUGGAACCAAUCGUUGAGGAUUCCAAGGACAACUGUAUGAUGCAGGCACACCUGUCCUAGCUGCUCAAGGGUCGUGGGAUGCAGGCAGGUUUUCUCCCCCUUCCCCCUCCCUCCCACACACCUUCUCUCCCACCUCUCUCUGUUUCAUUCACAAAGUCAGCAGUGGCCAAGCACACAGGUGUUCCCAGCUGCGUAUCUGGGAUACCGAGGAAAGGUAAGAAGUCUCAGGAGUGAAGAAGCCACAGGCUGGCGUCUUCCUCCCUGGGCCUCCAGCAGUGCGGAGCCAGGGAGCGCACCUGCUGGGCCUGGGCCCUCUCCCCUGGGCUGGGCGGCCUCUGCUGGCC